rnacentral:misc_RNA from 1 species
GCGCUCUUUAUCGCCCACUGCAACGCCGCCAUCAAUGUUAGCCUCCCAUCGUUAGAUCCGCCGGACUCCAAUGUUAGGGUUUCGGCGGAACUGGUAAGCUCAUUCUACGAGUAACUCAGCAUGAACCCCCUCUGCUGCAUCGCCCCGGUGUCGGUUGAGCGGGGCGCGGCCACGCCGGUUCUCCCCACGCGUGCUAAGCCGGCUGUGCCGCCACUUGAUGCCGCGGCCCGGACGGUGUCGAGCAAGCAGCUCCUACCG